AAGUCGUAACAAGGUAACCGUAGGUGAACCUGCGGUUGGAUCAUUACUAAAUGAUUUUCACUAGGCUUUUGAACUCUUAACAGAGAUCGAGUCUAGUGUCUUUACACCCUGUGAACUUUAUCGUAUUUCGAGUGCGCAGUUUACUGCGUGCUCGGCCGUAACAAACCCCUUUUAACCUAGACUGAAUCUUUUAUUAUAUAAAAGAUAAACAACUUUUGACAACGGAUCUCUUGGCUCUC
rnacentral:misc_RNA from 1 species